GAUGCAUAAUGUCUCUGUUACUCUUUUUUUUUUUUUUUUUUAUAAAUAUUAUCAACAUUACUAACACCAUACUGGUACACCAAAGGUAUGUUUCAUUUCCUUCUUAUAUUUAUUCUUAUAUGGGUUAGUUUAGGGAUUUGGUUUUCCUAGAUUUCUGUAGUAAGUGUGCACUGUGCAGAUUAUUAUAUUCUAGACAGACACAUGCAGAUACACAUACACUGUUCAAAGCUAUGUGUUUCUCUUUGUUUUACUGAUUUAUUGAAGCUCAAACACCCUACAGGAGGAAAGUGUAUUACCAGACGCAGAGUAAGUCAGCAGAAUAGCACUGUUGCACAGAUGCAUAAUGUUUGCUAAUAAAGUAAGAUAACUGAUUUUUUUUUUUUUUAAUUAAUAAACAUUACUGCCAUUUAACAUUACUAUUUAAUAUUACUAUUUACUAUCUAGUAAAUGGUAAAACUGUGUAAAACUCUCUUUAUGUUCUUGAAGCUCAAGCCCCCUCUUGGAGGAAACCGUAUUACUAUGCAACAACUCAAAACCCCUACAGAAGGAAUGUGUAUUACCAGACGCAGACACCAUACUGGUACAUCAAAGGUAUGUUUCAUUUCCUUCUUAUAUUUAUUCUUAUAUGUGACCCUGGAUGACAAAACCAGUCUUAAGUGUCAAUUUUUUCGAAAUUGAGAUGUAUACAUCAUCUGAAAGCUGAAUAAAUAAGCUUUCCAUUGAUGUAUGUAUGUUUGUUAGGAUAUGACAACAUUUGGUUGAGAUACAACUAUUUGAAAAUCUGGAAUCUGAGGGUGCAGAAAAAUCUAAAUAUUGAGAAAAUCGCCUUUAAAGUUGUCCAAAUGAAGUUCUUAGCAAUGCAUAUUACUAAUCAAAAAUUAAGUUUUGAUACAUUUACGGUAAGGAAUUCACAAAAUAUCUUCAUGGAACAUGACCUUUAAUUAAUAUCCUAAUGAUUUUUGGCAUAAAAGAAAAAUUGAUAAUUUUGACCCAUACAAUAUAUUUUUGGCUAUUGCUACAAAUAUACCCCAGCGACUUAAGACUGGUUUUGUGGUCCAGGGUCACAUAUUGUUUAGUUUAGGGAUUUGGUUUUCCUAGAUUUCUGUAGUAAGUGUGCACUGUGCAGUUUAUUAUAUUCUAGACAUUAGGGGUGUGCGAUAUUGAAAAAAAAAUGAUAUCUCGAUAUUUUUUCGAUAACGAUAAUUAGACAAUAUUUUGUUAGUGUGUUAUUGUGCUGAUAUCUGACUACCGUGGACAGCUGCAGUUUUUGAUAUUCUUCAUAUUCUGCAUGGUCAGUUCACAUCAGUGAUAGAAAUGAAUCUUGUCAUAUAAGUUUAAAUGGAUUUUUACCUUUUAUGGGCAAUUUUACCUUUAAUAAAGCUAUUUUUUCUAAAAGUGUGCAUUUUUUUAGUCAAAUUGUUACAUUUAAUUGGUAAUUAGAAUAAUAAGACAUUUAGGCUGUUACCAAAACAAAUGAAACCAGUAUCAACAAAAUUCAUCUUUGCAGAUGUUGCAUCUGAAGUGGCAUUUAGAUGUAUUUACACACUGUUUAAUGCAGCUCAGAGGGACAUUGAGUGCUUUAACCUGCAGUUACAGAUGCAUAAUGUUUUGAUAUUUUAAACAUAAAACAUUGAAUACUGAUAUUUGAAAUAGUUUAAAAAAUGAAACGAUACUUUCAAUGUGAAAUUAAAAUCGGCAGUAGGUGGUAGCAAGUCACUGUUAACAAGCGAGUCAUUGCGACUGAACCGAAUCAUUUAAACAGUUGAUUCAUUCAGAAACGAAACAUCGUCAUGUUGCUCAGAGACGCAAAACAGCGCUGUGGCUGUGUUUAGAAUGAUUUUUGUUGACGAAAUGGAGCAAAAACAGGCUGUAUGGUGUCUAAAACAUAAGUCUCUUAAUAUUAACUUGUUUUUGAACUGUUGUAUAAAAUCAAUAUCACAUUUAUAAUCAUGCUUAGUUUUGAAGAAAAAAACAGCACUCUUCGUGUGAUUUUAACUAUAUCAAAUGAUAUAUAUACAUACAUUUUCUGCCCCAUAUCUUGAAUUUUGUGAUUAGUUUAAUGCACUUUAAUAGACUGAAUCAUGCAGUGAAAAAACACACUCUAAAUGCACACGUGCACUGUUUAACCCACUAGACUUCAUCACAUAAUGCAAGCAUGCACUCCGUGGGUGUUUUGUUUGGUUUCUGCAAAAUACUCGAUAAUGUCAAAUUGCACAUCGUUAAAAUAACGAUUACGAUAUUAUCGCAGACGAUAUAUAUCGCACACCCAUACUAGACAUACACAUGCAAAUACACACACACUGGUCAAAGCUAUGUGUUUCUUUGUUUUACUGAUUUAUUGAAGCUCAAACACCCUACAGGAGGAAUGUGUAUUACCAGACGCAGAGUAAGUCAGCAGAAUAGCACUGUUGCACAGAUGCAUAAUGUU